AUUGAACGCUGGCGGCAUGCCUUACACAUGCAAGUCGAACGGCAGCACGGGUGCUUGCACCUGGUGGCGAGUGGCGAACGGGUGAGUAAUACAUCGGAACCCGUCCUGUAGUGGGGGAUAGCCCGGCGAAAGCCGGAUUCAUACCGCAUACGAUCUACGGAUGACAGCGGGGGAACUUCGGGCAUCGCGCUUUAGGGUUGGCCGAUGGCUGAUUAGCUAGUUGGUGGGGUAAAGGCCUACCAAGGCGACGAUCAGUAGCUGGUCUGAGAGGACGACCAGCCACACUGGGACUGAGACACGGCCCAGACUCCUACGGGAGGCAGCAGUGGGGAAUUUUGGACAAUGGGCGAAAGCCUGAUCCAGCAAUGCCGCGUGUGUGAAGAAGGCCUUCGGGUUGUAAAGCACGUUUGUCCGGAAAGAAAUCCUUGGCCCUAAUACGGUCGGGGGAUGACGGUACCGGAAGAAUAAGCACCGGCUAACUACGUG
rnacentral:rRNA from 1 species